UACGUAGGCAGCGAGCGUUGUUCGGAGUUACUGGGCGUAAAGGGUGUGUAGGCGGUUGUUUAAGUUUGGUGUGAAAUCUCCCGGCUCAACUGGGAGGGUGCGCCGAAUACUGAAUGACUUGGAGUGCGGGAGAGGUGAGUGGAAUUCCUGGUGUAGCGGUGAAAUGCGUAGAUAUCAGGAGGAACACCGGUGGUGUAGACGGCUCACUGGACCGUAACUGACGCUGAGGCGCGAAAGCUAGGGGAGCAAACAGG
rnacentral:rRNA from 1 species